GGGAAAUUUGACAUUGCUGGCCAUAGCCACAACCUAUUUCAUGUACUUGUAGUGGCAGGAGCUUAUACACAUUAUCGCGCUGGAUUAAUUUAUCUGCAAUGGCGUGAUCAACAAGGGUGCUAAGAAUCAAUCACCAGAGGGGAAGAGUUCCUCAGGAUUUUGAUUGGUGGUCUAUCAGUUUCGUUAUCAUUUAAAUGUAUAUCAACAAAGUGGAUGAGAGGUCACCAGACCCUUGGUUGUUGAACCAAUUUUCAAGAAUGGUUAAUUUUGCAACUAUCUUAAGGUAAUUUGCUUGCCUGAAAAUGUAGAGAUUGAAAACCAAUUCUUUAGGUUCGGAA
rnacentral:misc_RNA from 1 species